rnacentral:rRNA from 2 species
UGGGGAAUAUUGCACAAUGGGCGCAAGCCUGAUGCAGCGGCGCCGCGUGAGGGAAGAAGGCCUUCGGGUCGUAAACCUCUUUCGGCAGGGACGAAGCGCAAGUGACGGUACCUGAAGAAGAAGCGCCGGCCAACUACGUGCCAGCAGCCGCGGUAAGACGUAGGGCGCAAGCGUUGUCCGGAUUUAUUGGGCGUAAAGCGCUCGUAGGCGGCUUGUCGCGUCGACUGUGAAAACCCGCGGCUCAACUGCGGGACUGCAGUCGAUACGGGCAGGCUAGAGUUCGGUAGGGGAGACUGGAAUUCCUGGUGUAGCGGUGAAAUGCGCAGAUAUCAGGAGGAACACCGGUGGCGAAGGCGGGUCUCUGGGCCGACACUGACGCUGAGGAGCGAAAGCGUGGGGAGCGAACAGG